AGGAUGAGCGCUGGCGGCGUGCCUAACACAUGCAAGUCGAACGUCCUGUCUCGCAAGAGGCAGGGAGUGGCGGACGGGUGAGUACCACGUGGGUUAUCUACCGUGAGGUGAGGAAUACCGGCGAGAAAUCGCCGACAAGACCGCAUAGCCUCGGUGCAAGCCGAGGAAAGCUUUCUCGAGAGAGGGAGCGCCACACGAGGAGCCUGCGCCCGAUUAGCUAGCUGGUGGAGUAACGGUUCACCAGGGCGACGAUCGGUAGCUGGUCUGAGAGGACGAUCAGCCACACUGGGAUUGAGAACGGCCCAGACUCCUACGGGGGGCAGCAGUGAGGAAUUUUCGUCAAUGGGGCAACCCUGAACGAGCAACGCCGCGUGCAGGAAGAAGGUUUUCGGAUCGUAAACUGCUUUUCGUCGGGGAAGAGAACGGACGGUACCCGAGGAAUCGAGCCCCGGCUAACUACGUGCCAGCAGCCGC
rnacentral:rRNA from 1 species